rnacentral:rRNA from 1 species
GUAGGUGSCGAGCGUUGUCCGGAAUCAUUGGGCGUAAAGGGAGCGCAGGCGGUCAUGUAAGUCUUACUUAAAAGUUCGGGGCUCAACCCCGUGAUGGGUAAGAAACUAUAUGACUUGAGUACAGGAGAGGAAAGCGGAAUUCCCAGUGUAGCGGUGAAAUGCGUAGAUAUUGGGAGGAACACCAGUGGCGAAGGCGGCUUUCUGGACUGCAACUGACGCUGAGGCUCGAAAGCCAGGGGAGCGAACGGGAUUAGAUACCCCGGUAGUCCUGGCCGUAAACGAUGGAUACUAGGUGUGGGAGGUAUCGACCCCUACCGUGCCGGAGUUAACGCAAUAAGUAUCCCGCCUGGGGAGUACGGYCGCAAGGCUG